CGGAAGUAUUGGGCGGAAAGCGCACGUAGGCGGCGGGGUAAGUCUGUCUGUGAAAGCCCGGGGCUCAACCCCGUGGAUGGCAGGGGAUACUGCUCGGCUGGAGACAAGCAGAGGUUGGUAGAAUUCCGGGUGUAGCGGUGGAAUGCGUAGAGAUCCGGAGGAAUACCAGAGGCGAAGGCGGCCAACUGGGCUUGAUCUGACGCUGAGGUGCGAAAGCGUGGGGAGCGAACAG
rnacentral:rRNA from 1 species